CUCUCUCUCUAUCUUUUUCUGUGUGUGUGUGUUUCAAAAUAAAUUGCAGGAGAUUUUGGAAUGCAAACUAUUCCGGCCAUUACCCAUCUCCCCUUCCAAACUUAACAUUCCUUCCCAAAAUAUCCCUCCUCCUAAAAUAUUCCUCCUCUUAUAACUCCCCUCUGCCUCUCUUCCCCUUUUAUAUCCCUCUCGCCCCUUCUCUUCCCAAACUCUCUCUUUCUCUCUCUAAAUCUCUGUCUUCUCGGCGAUGACGGCGCCCAACAUAGAGAUGAUAGCAGCGUCGCUGAGGAACUGCUCUCUGGGGAGAGGAAACAGGGGAGCGGCGGCGGCGGCGGCGGCGGCGUCCCCGCCGCUGCCGCGGCGCCUGGUAGAGGAGGAGGAGGAGGAGGAG
rnacentral:lncRNA from 1 species